rnacentral:rRNA from 1 species
AUGUCGGACUGCAGCACCGGCACGGACUCGCCGCGGGCCGACUCCGUCGACGAGCAGCCGCCCGCCGACGCCGAGUCGCCCGGCGUUGGCCAGAGCAAGCGCGACCACCCCUCGCCGUCGUCCCCGCUGCCGCCGCCCAAGCGCAGCCGGAGAUCCGUGGAGAAGAGGGUGGUGUCGGUGCCGAUUGCCGAGUGCGGCGAGCGGGCCAAGACCAACGGCGAGGGCCCGCCGCCGCCGGACUCGUGGGCGUGGCGCAAGUACGGCCAGAAGCCCAUCAAGGGAUCCCCCUACCCGCGGGGGUACUACCGCUGCAGCAGCUCCAAGGGGUGCCCGGCGAGGAAGCAGGUGGAGCGCAGCCGCGCCGACCCCACCGUGCUACUCGUCACCUACUCCUACGAUCACAACCACCCGUGGCCGGCGCCCAAGACCGGCUGCCACCCCACCAAGUCCUCCCCGCGCCUGGUGGAGCCCAAGCCCGAGCCCGGCACGCCGGUGGAGUGCCAGCCCGAGCACGGACCCGAGGCGCCGGAGCACGGGCCUGAGGCGCCGGAGCAAGAGCAGGAGGAGGAGCAUGAGCAGAAGCCUGUCAUCGGCCUGGCCGACCCCGCGGCGAUCACGACGGUGACCGCGGCGACCGAGGAGGAGGAGAGCUUCGACUUCGGGUGGUUCGACCAGUACCCGACGUGGCCCCGGACGGCGCUGUACGUGCCGGCGUUCGACGUGGCGCCGCCGCCGGAGGACUGGGAACGCGAGCUGCAGGGGGAGGACGCGCUCUUCGCGGGGCUGGGCGAGCUCCCGGAGUGCGCCAUCGUGUUCGGCCGCCGGCGCGACCUGGCCCUGCCGGCCACCGCGCCCUGCUCCUGA